rfam:Operophtera brumata OBRT01_Sc01163, whole genome shotgun sequence.
CAUUCGGCUCUUUUCAGAGCCACUAAGAAAGAGAAAGAGAGAGAG